rnacentral:rRNA from 1 species
UACAGAGGGUGCGAGCGUUGUUCGGAAUUAUUGGGCGUAAAGGGCGCGUAGGCGGUGCGGUAAGUCACCUGUGAAAUCUCCUGGCUCAACUGGGAGCUUGCAGGCGAAACUGCCGUGCUGGAGUGUGGGAGAGGUGCGUGGAAUUCCCGGUGUAGCGGUGGAAUGCGUAGAGAUCGGGAAGAACAUCAGUGGCGAAGGCGGCCUGCUUGGCUGUUGCUGACGCUGAGGCGCGACAGCGUGGGGAGCAAACAGG